rnacentral:rRNA from 1 species
AGUUUGAUCCUGGCUCAGAUUGAACGCUGGCGGCAUGCCUUACACAUGCAAGUCGAACGGCAGCGGGCCUUCGGGUGCCGGCGAGUGGCGAACGGGUGAGUAAUGCAUCGGAACGUGCCAUUGAGUGGGGAUAACGUAGCGAAAGUUGCGCUAAUACCGCAUAUUCUGUGAGCAGGAAAGCAGGGGACCGCAAGGCCUUGCGCUCUUUGAGCGGCCGAUGUCAGAUUAGCUAGUUGGUGAGGUAAAGGCUUACCAAGGCGACGAUCUGUAGCGGGUCUGAGAGGAUGAUCCGCCACACUGGAACUGAGACACGGUCCAGACUCCUACGGGAGGCAGCAGUGGGGAAUUUUGGACAAUGGGGGCAACCCUGAUCCAGCCAUGCCGCGUGAGUGAAGAAGGCCUUCGGGUUGUAAAGCUCUUUCGGCCGGGAAGAAAUCGCAUGGGUGAAUACCCUGUGUGGAUGACGGUACCGGAACAAGAAGCACCGGCUAACUACGUG